UUUGCUUGAUUUGUACGUUUC
rnacentral:piRNA from 1 species